AGAGUUUGAUCCUGGCUCAGAGUUAACGCUGGCGGCGUGCCUAACACAUGCAAGUCGAACGGAGCGUACCAGAAUAUCGGGCGCUUAGUGGCAGACGGGUGAGUAACACGUAAACAACCUGCCCUCAAAAGGGGGAUAACCUGACGAAAGUCGGACUAAUACCCCAUAAUAUCCGGUUUCAGCAUUGGGACUGGAUUAAAGGCCCGCAAGGGUCGAUUGAGGAGGGGUUUGCGGCCUAUCAGCUAGUUGGCGGUGUAACGGACCACCAAGGCAAUGACGGGUAGCCGAUCUAAAAGGAUGACCGGCCACAAGGGCACUGAGACACGGGCCCUACUCCUACGGGAGGCAGCAGUGGGGAAUUUUGGACAAUGGACGAAAGUCUGAUCCAGCGACGCCGCGUGGAGGAUGAAGGUUUUCGGAUCGUAAACUCCUUUUACAGGGGACGAAAGCCCGCAAGGGUUUGACGGUACUCUGUGAAUAAGCCACGGCUAACUACGUGCCAGCAGCCGCGGUAAUACGUAGGUGGCGAGCGUUACUCGGAAUUACUAGGCGUAAAGCGCGUGUAGGCGGGAACUUAAGUCUGUCGUGAAAGCUCAGGGCUUAACCCUGAAAUGUCGACGGAAACUGGGUUUCUUGAGUGCGGUAGAGGAGAUCGGAAUUCCAGGUGUAGCGGUGAAAUGCGUAGAUAUCUGGAAGAACGCCAAAGGCGAAGGCAGAUCUCUGGGCCGUUACUGACGCUGAGACGCGAAAGCUAGGGGAGCAAACAGGAUUAGAUACCCUGGUAGUCC
rnacentral:rRNA from 1 species